UCCGGAUCUUUCUCUUGAAACUGCUUUAACACUUCUUGCGUCGUCUGGAUUUCACAGAUUGUUCCAAAUGUAGUUGUUUGAUUAUAAUAACGGAGGCAAUCAGCGACUCUCUUAAGAUGGUGGGUCAACUUUGCGAUCAAGAUUUAUCCAGCAAGUAAUACCUCUUACAGCCUUGGCUAGUCAAACCAGCUUCAACCAGUGAAUCUAUGGUCCUCUAAUUGGGCUUCUUUGGAGACUUGCAUCUGGUUCUGCUAUGGCUGUCAAGAUGCUUUUUCAGCAAAAAGAAAGGUGCAUAUUGAAGAAUAUUUUAUCAAGCUAUGACACCUCACACAUCAAAGCCUCUUCCCUUGUGGGUGGUGAUGCAAACUCCAACCAGAAGGAUAUCUAAAGGAUCAACCUGAACUUCUGAGGCGUUUUUGUAGACAUGAUUCCUGCUUUGGCGGGGGUUGUAAAUGGUGAUGCAAAUCUACAAGCCUGUGAUGGAUGAGUUUCUGUAAUCUAUUCCAACUAAGCAUGCCAGUGCGCAUCUGUGCUUAAAGGGUUCAUUUCGUAAAGGAAGAGUGAGAUAUUUUUGUAAUGACUCUUUAGAUGCUGUGAUUAUUGAGACCGUUACCUCUUUCAAUGCUGUUGAAAGAUAUUUGUGGCUCCAUGUCAACGCCAGGAGAAAUGACGCUCAGACAACAUCUGCUGUAGAUAUGCAAGCGAAUUAAAAGAUGAUUCCAAAAAGCCUGAGGAGCAGUCUUCCCCAGAGGUUAAAGCCACCCCUAAAAGAACGAGUUCCUCUGUUUUGCUUCUGCUGCCAAAGAACAUCAUGGAUCAUGUAGUGUUGAUGAUCGCCAUCAGAAGUUGAUAUUUUCUGUAGAUGGAAGAAAGCUGGAUCAAGCAAUUCCGUAAUUACAAGUGAAGGAAGAAAAUGAUGUGGCAAAAACUUUUGGUACGAAGUGUAUAGUAUACCAUUUAAGAAGGCUGCUGAAGUAAAGGCAAGUAGUACCGAGUCCACUGCCUUGUUGGAACUUAAAUUUCUAUUUUGCAAAGUUAUUCAGGGGAGGUUUACUCUGCUCUGGUCUGCUGACAGAACUUGCGUAUAAUCUGGAGAAGGCGGAUCCGCUGUACGAGAUUAUUUUGCUUCUGGAAAUUUUGGAGUCAUAUAUAAACAAGUUAACUUGUCAUCUGACGUCUCCAGAAAGAUAACAGCUCUAGCCCCUUCUAUUUCACAAGAAGACCAAAGUCUCAGCCAGAUAUCUAGGUACCAGACCCAUGAUAAUCUAGGUAAUGAUUGGCAGCUUGUGCGAGUUAACCCAACCUUCAGCAACAGUGAUUUAACCAUGGAAGAAGCUGAAAAAGUUUCGAUUGCAGAGAAUCCCAGCCACCCUGCUGCUGCUGGAGAUCAAUCAAGCUAUGCAGAUCACUCUAAAACUUUUUAUACUAGUGUCUCAAUUUUAUUUUGUUCUUCAAUUCCUUCUUCGAUUCACACUGAUAUUAUAAACUCUAGUGUUUCUUAUUGUUUAUUGCGUACAUUAAGUGAUUCUGAUAGUCUUAAGGUUGUUACUGUUUUCAACCCUCCCAAGUAUAAUCUGAGAUUUCAUC